rnacentral:rRNA from 1 species
UGGGGAAUAUUGGACAAUGGGCGAAAGCCUGAUCCAGCCAUGCCGCGUGUGUGAAGAAGGUCUUCGGAUUGUAAAGCACUUUAAGUUGGGAGGAAGGGCAUUAACCUAAUACGUUAGUGUUUUGACGUUACCGACAGAAUAAGCACCGGCUAACUCUGUGCCAGCAGCCGCGGUAAUACAGAGGGUGCAAGCGUUAAUCGGAAUUACUGGGCGUAAAGCGCGCGUAGGUGGUUUGUUAAGUUGGAUGUGAAAGCCCCGGGCUCAACCUGGGAACUGCAUUCAAAACUGACAAGC